GACGAACGCUGGCGGCGUGCUUAACACAUGCAAGUCGAACGGAAAGGCCCCUUUGUUGGUACUCUAGUGGCGGACGGGUGAGUAACACGUAAGUAACCUUCACUUAACUUCGGGAUAACUUCAAGAAACGGGGGCUAAUACCGGAAAGGGAUCCUUUCUGCAUGGUGGGGGUUGGAAAGCGUCGGCGGGUUUGGAUGGACUCUCUGCUUAUCAGCUUGUUGGUGUGGUAGUGUCUUACCAAGGCGUUGUCGGGUAGCCAGCCUGAGAGGGCGACCGGCCACAUUGGGACUGAGAGACGGCACAGACUCCUACGGGUGGGAGAUGUGGGGAAUCUUGACCAAUGGGCGGAAGCCGGAUGAAGAAACGCCGCGUGCGGGAUGACGGCCUUAGGGUUGUAAACCGAUUUCAGCAGGGGCGAAGCUUGUGGUGACGGUACCUGAAGAAGAAGCACCGGCUAACUACGUG
rnacentral:rRNA from 1 species